rnacentral:rRNA from 1 species
UGGGGAAUAUUGCACAAUGGGCGCAAGCCUGAUGCAGCCAUGCCGCGUGUGUGAAGAAGGCCUUCGGGUUGUAAAGCACUUUCAGCGAGGAGGAAGGUGGUGAACUUAAUACGUUCAUCAAUUGACGUUACUCGCAGAAGAAGCACCGGCUAACUCCGUGCCAGCAGCCGCGGUAAUACGGAGGGUGCAAGCGUUAAUCGGAAUUACUGGGCGUAAAGCGCACGCAGGCGGUUUGUUAAGUCAGAUGUGAAAUCCCCGGGCUCAACCUGGGAACUGCAUUUGAAACUGGCAAGCUAGAGUCUCGUAGAGGGGGGCUAGAAUUCCAGGUGUAGCGGUGAAAUGCGUAGAGAUCUGGAGGAAUACCGGUGGCGAAGGCGGCCCCCUGGACGAAGACUGACGCUCAGGUGCGAAAGCGUGGGGCAGCAAACAGGAUUAGAUACCCUGGUAGUCCACGCUGUAAACGAUGUCGAUUUUGGAGGUUGUGCCCUUGAGGCGUGGCUUCCGGAGCUAACGCGUUAAA